CGAUGACAAAGACCACCAUCUGUUCCCUUCCUUGUGGGUUCUUGUCAGCCUCGCUGGGAGCUGGUGGGGACCCUAGACUCCCCACCAUGGACCCACCAGGGCCCCCAUCAUGGACCCAGCAGGGUCCCCAGCAAGGGACACACCAGGGGGCCAACCAUGGACUCAUCACAGUCCCUACCGUGGACCUACCAUGGACCUACCAUGGACCUACCAUGGACCUACCAUGGACCUACCAUGGACCUAACAUGGACCUAACAUGGACCUACCAUUGACCUAACAUGGACCUACCAUGGCUUGCAUUCCUGGAAGCCAGGAAUGCCUUUCAGAGUUCACAGUGAACACAAAUGUGAGAGGAUAAGGUGUAAAGAAGAAGGAGAAGAAGGAGAAGAAGGAGGAGGAGUAGUAGAAGAAGCAGAAUUUAGUUUUGUUUGUUGGCUGGAAGGACCGAUACCUACCAGCAUAGCGGAGAAGAGCUGUGUUCCUCCUCUGAUCACGUGACUGCCAAACAGGCCCUCUCUCUGUCUCUACGUCGCUCCGUCUCUCCGUCCCUUCCUCUUUAGAGGAAUGCAGGGGAAGAGCUUUUGAAUGAGAUCAACGCUACAAUGAUAAAAUCAGAGAAGCCGUUGCGGGGCGGCCCUCCAGAAUGUCACAUGAUGAGCAGGGCUGCCGUCACCAGGGCCAACGACACCAGGGCCACACAGGGUGUGUCCUGAUCCAUCUCACGCCUGCCUGGGAUCCCAGCCAGAAAUUUCACCUUGGAAAAGUAAGCUACAGCUACAGUGAGCUACAGCUGCAGCUACAGUGAGAUACAGCUACAGCGAGCUAAAGCUACAGUGAGCUACAACUGCAGCUACAGUGAGCCGAAGCUACAUCGGGCUACAGCUACAUUGAGCUACAGCAAGCUUCAGCGAGCUGAAGCUAGAGCGAGCUACAGCUACAGUAUUCUACCUAUUCAGCCACAGUCAGCGACCUAUUCAGCUACAGUGAGCUACCUAUUCAGCAACACUGAGCUGCAGCUACAGCGGGCUAUAGCCACAGCGAGCUAACUAUUCAGCUACGGUGAGCUACAGCUACAGUGAGCUACAGCUACAGCAAAAGCUUUAUCUUCAGUGAACUAUUGUUGUUGUGAAGAAGGUGAAUCAACUGAUAGGGAUUGUGGGAGACGUAUUGUGGAUUGUAAGAUGCGUUUCAAAUGGUGCAGCCAAAAUGACCGCUAUUGUCAAAUGCUUGAAUGAACGAGUAAAUGUGUUACCA
ensembl:lncRNA